rnacentral:rRNA from 1 species
UACAGAGGGGGCAAGCGUUGUUCGGAAUUACUGGGCGUAAAGGGCGCGUAGGCGGCCUGUUAAGUCGAACGUGAAAUCCCCGGGCUCAACCCGGGAACUGCGUCCGAUACUGGCAGGCUUGAAUCCGGGAGAGGGAUGUGGAAUUCCAGGUGUAGCGGUGAAAUGCGUAGAUAUCUGGAGGAGCACCGGUGGCGAAAGCGGCUCACUGGAUCGAGUCUGACACUGAGGUGCGAAAGCUAGGGUAGCAAACGGG